AUUGAACGCUGGCGGCAGGCUUAACACAUGCAAGUCGAGCGGGGAGAUGUAGCUUGCUACCUAUCCUAGCGGCGGACGGGUGAGUAAUGCUUAGGAAUCUGCCUAUUAGUGGGGGACAACAUUCCGAAAGGAAUGCUAAUACCGCAUACGCCCUACGGGGGAAAGCAGGGGAUCUUCGGACCUUGCGCUAAUAGAUGAGCCUAAGUCGGAUUAGCUAGUUGGUGGGGUAAAGGCCUACCAAGGCGACGAUCUGUAGCGGGUCUGAGAGGAUGAUCCGCCACACUGGGACUGGGACACGGCCCAGACUCCUACGGGAGGCAGCAGUGGGGAAUAUUGGACAAUGGGCGCAAGCCUGAUCCAGCCAUGCCGCGUGUGUGAAGAAGGCCUUUUGGUUGUAAAGCACUUUAAGCGAGGAGGAGGCUCCUUUAGUUAAUACCUAAAGAGAGUGGACGUUACUCGCAGAAUAAGCACCGGCUAACUCUGUG
rnacentral:rRNA from 1 species